rnacentral:lncRNA from 9 species
AGUUCACAGAGUAAUCCUGAAAGUUGCAGAAGUAAUGCUGGGGUGGCGGUCCACUGGCCUGUGGGGCCCUGUGCUGGCUGUCCUUGAUGAAUGGGGGCUGCUAGAAGAUCUGGAGAACAAGAGCCGCAGUGGCUCUGCUAUAGUGCAAGGCUGUGCCCCUAAAAACACAAUAUAAGAAGCCAAACAGUGAGCAUGUCUACAUUGCUGUGAUUGCUGUUCUUCCUCCCGAGACACCACAAGAUCCCAGGAGCACAGGAUGAAGAAGCUUCUUCUGAGUGUCCUUCUCCUGGCCUUUCUCUCAGAGGGGAUGACACAGAAAGGUAGGUCCUGAGCCCUGCUGGGGUAACCUUUUCUCCUAGUCCCAGGAAAACUGGAGUAUAGCAUCUUUUGUUGUCACUGCUGCUGUUUUGAGGAAGACGUGAAUGAAGGAUGGGAUAAGUUAUCUAUUGCAGUAUUAUGAAUCACCUCAAAGCUUGGCAGGAUAAAACCUCAAACAUUUUCUGUCUCAUAUUACUGUGAGUCAGGAAUCCAGGAAGAGCUUAGCGGGAUGAUUCUGACUCAGGGUCUCUCAUGAGGUUGCCAUCAACCAACCAGAACUGCCCUCUCAUCUGAAGGCUGGACUGGGGAUGAUCUGCUUUGCUUCCAAGCUCACGUACGUGGUUAACUGUCAGAAGUCAGCUCUUAUUGGCUGUUGGGUUAAGGGCCUCAGUUCCUCACUGGCUCUUGGCUGGAGGCUUCCCUUAGCUCCUUGCCCCAUGGACCCUUCUAUCAAGCAGCCUACAACAUGGCAGGUGGCUUCUCCAGCAGAGUGACCUAACAGAGAGAAAAAUGCCCAGUAUAGAAGCAGUUUUUCAUAAUCUAAUCUCAGAAGUCUUAUACCUCAGUUCUGCUGUGUUCUGUUCAUUAGCAGCAAGUUAGCCUAUACUUAGGAGAAUUAUUUUGGACAUAUUUUCUAUUAGCUGUGCCCACAGUAUGAGAAAACUCCUAGGCCAGGAAUUGAACCCGUGCUACAGCAGAAACUAGAGCCACAGCAGUUAUAAUGUCAGAUCCUUAGCCUGCUGAGCCACUAGGGAACUCCGCAGAUGCUGAUGAGUAAGGACAUGCCUGGCAUAAGGAAGCCCCAGAGCUGGCUUUGCUUGCUAGGUAGGCACAUCAUUACCUCUCACCUGAGAGAGUAAGAACAGAUGUGCAGCUUUUAUUAGAAAAAGAGGUUAUUUCAGGGGCUGGAGUAUUCAUUCUCUUAUCCUUCUCAGUCCUUUAGUCUGAGUCAAAUGAGAGGAAUUUUGGAAGAAUCUUGGACUUUAAAUUAGAUAACCAUUUUCUCCCAAACUAACUGAAUUGCCUUUGUGAAAUUUGCUAAACACGGAUCCUCAGAUUCUUCAACUAUGAAAUGGGUAUAAAAAUGACAUCAAAAUUGCAAAGAUUUGUUUAUCAAGAUUGAAUGAGGAGUUCCCGUCGUGGCGCAGUGGUUAACGAAUCCGACUAGGAACCAUGAGGUUGCGGGUUCGGUCCCUGCCCUUGCUCAGUGGGUUAACGAUCUGGCGUUGCCGUGAGCUGUGGUGUAGGUUGCAGACGCGGCUCGGAUCCUGCGUUGCUGUGCCUCUGGCGUAGGCCGGUGGCUACAGCUCCGAUUGGACCCCUAGCCUGGGAACCUCCAUAUGCCGCGGGAGCGGCCCAAGAAAUAGCAAAUAGACAAAAAAAAAAAAAAAAAAAAAAAAAAAAAA